UACGGGGGGAGCAAGCGUUGUUCGGAAUUAUUGGGCGUAAAGAGCUCGUAGGCGGUCUGUCGCGUCUGCUGUGAAAACUCGGGGCUUAACCCCGGGCCUGCAGUGGGUACGGGCAGACUAGAGUGCGGUAGGGGAGACUGAAAUUCCUGGUGUAGCGGUGAAAUGCGCAGAUAUCAGGAGGAACACCGGUGGCGAAGGCGGGUCUCUGGGCCGAUACUGACGCUGAGGAGCGAAAGCGUGGGGAGCAAACAGG
rnacentral:rRNA from 1 species